rnacentral:rRNA from 1 species
AAACCCUGUGGGAAGCAGGAGGGACCACCCUCCAAGGCUAAAUACUACCUAGUGACCGAUAGCGUAUAGUACCGUGAGGGAAAGGUGAAAAGAACCCCGGGAGGGGAGUGAAAUAGAACCUGAAACCAUGCACUUACAAGCUGUGGAAGCACAUUUCUUGUGUGACCGCGUACUUUUUGUAGAACGGGCCAACGAGUUACGUUAAGUAGCAAG